rnacentral:rRNA from 1 species
UACGUAGGGGGCUAGCGUUGUCCGGAUUUAUUGGGCGUAAAGAGCGUGUAGGCGGCCAGGUAGGUCUGCUGUGAAAACUCGAGGCUCAACCUCGAGACGCCGAUGGAAACCGUCUGGCUAGAGUCCGGAAGAGGAGAGUGGAAUUCCCGGUGUAGCGGUGAAAUGCGCAGAUAUCGGGAAGAACACCCGUGGCUAAGGCGGCUCUCUAGUACGGUACUGACGCUGAGACGCGAAAGCGUGGGGAGCGAACAGG